rnacentral:rRNA from 1 species
AUGACUGAGGCGACUGCGGUGACCGUGCCGCCGCCGCCGGAGCCACCGCCCGCGCUGCCGAUCGUGCUGAGCGUGGAGUCUGGCAAGGAGCGGCGGGACCGAACGCCGCCGCCGGAUGCCUUUCCGCUAAUCGCGCAGGCAUGUGAGGAGGAUGGAGAGGGGGUGGUGGUUGGGCCGCCGCCGCCGGCGGCAUCACCUGCAUGCGCGGAAAUGACGCCGGAAAUGCAACGGCCUUCAGAUCCACCGUCGCCGGCAUUGGUGACCGCGGCUCUGUCGCCGGCAGCGCUGGCAACACAGGGGGCCGGUUCCUUCGUCGCCGGGCCUGGAGAACGUGGCUCCGCCGCCGCCGGCGCGGACAGUUCGGAGGGGGCCGGCCGGAUCGGAGGGAGAUGUGGUGAUUCAGGCUGA